rnacentral:lncRNA from 1 species
CCAGUUUUUAGAAUGUUACAACUUUACUUGUUUAUAUAUGAAUUGUUUCAUUGAGUGCAUAAUUGUAAGUAAACUACAUUAAGUGAGUAAGUUUAAAUCUAAAUUUUCAAAGGAAAAAUCUUGAAAGGAGAGUGAUAUUGUUCUAUAAGAUUCACAUUGCUACUUUAGCUUUUUUUUCUCUUCUUCUUCUACAAUAUUUUUUUUAUAUAAAACAAUUUUUCAAGUAUAAUAACUGUAACAGGCCAAUUUAGC